rnacentral:rRNA from 1 species
GACAGUCUCAGUUCGGAUUGAAGGCUGAAACUCGCCUACAUGAAGCUGGAGUUGCUAGUAAUCGCGAAUCAGCAUGUCGCGGUGAAUACGUUCCCGGGCCUUGUACACACCGCCCGUCACACCAUGAGAGUUGGCAAUACCCAACGUACGUGAUCUAACCCACAAGGGAGGAAGCGUCCUAAGGUAGGGUCAGCGAUUGGGGUGAAGUCGUAACAAGGUAAC